AACGUAGGUUCCGAGCGUUAUCCGGAUUUACUGGGCGUAAAGCGCGUUCAGGCGGUUUGGCAAGUCGGGCAUGAAAUCUCUCGGCUCAACCGGGAGAGGUUGUCCGAUACUUCCAGACUUGAGGGCAGUAGAGGGUGGUGGAAUUCCGGGUGUAGUGGUGAAAUGCGUAGAUAUCCGGAGGAACACCAGUGGCGAAAGCGGCUACCUGGACUGCACCUGACGCUGAGACGCGAAAGCGUGGGGAGCGAACCGG
rnacentral:rRNA from 1 species